AUAAUAAUUCACAAAACAUUAAAAAAAAUUCCCCCAAAUCAAAACGUAAGAGCUUUUCUCACAGAACACACUCAAGAGCUUUUCUCACAAAGAUGAAGAGUUGAAGAUCAAACACAGAGUUGAAGAGCUGAAGAAAUGAAGAGUUGAAGAUCGAACACAGAUUUCACGAUUUCACGUUGAAGAGCUAAAGAGCUACUCGUUGAAGAACACGAUUUCAUGAUUUCUUCUUGAAGAGCUGUAGGUUACGCCUCACAGAUGAACACGCCUCACUAAAAUGGAACACAAUGCUUCACUUGAGAAUAUGGUGUCUUAAAGCUUCAUCACAUUGAAAGGUUUAUCAGAUACGAUUGUGGGAAAGCUUUAUCAACUAAAAUGUGCAUUUCUGGCCUCAAAUGGGUCACUCCUAAAUUAGUAAGGAAAGCAUACAGGUCUGGGUGUUUGUGGGAUGUUGAUAAAUCCAUCAAGAAUAUCUAGAAAAUAAUACAUGAUUGCAUUUUUUGGAGCAUAUGGUUGAUAAUUUCUUCUUUUUCGUGUUUUUGGAGUAAUUAGUAUGAUUUGUUUAAUAGGAGGAAAGAUCUGUAAGGAAUUCAAAUUGUUGAUACACCUGUGUAAUCAUAUCUAUAAACAUGUUGGCUACCUAACUGAGGAUGUCAAUUGAGUAUAUAGUUUGAAGGUGUGUUGAUUGAUUAUAACAGGUUAUUUAUGUGAAGAUUCAAAGGAAUUCAAGAUUAUCAAGGCCUCACUAAGUCCUUCUGUCAUGGAAAAAUUUAUUGUUCCUCAAUUACGGCAAAGCUAGUUAAUCUGAAGAUUGGAAGCCCAUGGGACAUGAUGCAAGUUUUACCCAUCAACUAAAAGAUCAACAUAGCAGGGAUCGAUGUCACAUGCUUUGAUGCUAAUCAUUUCCCGGGUUCCCUAAUAAUCCUUUUUGAGCCACCCAAUGGUCAGGCUGUCCUGCACACGGGGGAUUUUUGAUUUUGUGAAGAAAUGACAAGGAAUGCAGUCUUGCAGACUUAUGGCAGUCUCAUCCUAUAUACUACAUACUGUGACCCUUAGGAAUUGGAGCAUGAACGAAGUGAGGAGCUAAAAUAUAUGCAGAGCCAUGUGACUAUGAUGGAGACUUCUUGAACAAUUGUGAUUAAAUUUAUUUUUGGUUUUGUGAAAUUAAUUACAAGUACACAUCUUGUAAUAUUGUUUUUUUAGUAAUUGUAAUAUGAGACUGUUUGCUUUUUAUAUAUUUAUUUUAAAUCUAUA